rnacentral:rRNA from 1 species
UACGGAGGGUGCAAGCGUUGUUCGGAAUCACUGGGCGUAAAGGGCGUGUAGGCGGCCCGCUAAGUCUGAUGUGAAAUCCCCUCGCUCAACGAGGGAACUGCGUCGGAAACUGGCGGACUCGAGUACCGGAGAGGAAGGUGGAAUUCCCGGUGUAGCGGUGAAAUGCGUAGAGAUCGGGAAGAACAUCGGUGGCGAAAGCGCUCUACUGGACCGCAACUGACACUCAGGGACGAAAGCUAGGGGAGCGAAUGGG